AUUGAACGCUGGCGGCAUGCUUUACACAUGCAAGUCGAACGGCAGCGCGGGCUUCGGCCUGGCGGCGCGUGGCGAACGGGUGAGUAAUACAUCGGAACGUGCCCAGUAGUGGGGGAUAGCUCGGCGAAAGCCGGAUUAAUACCGCAUACGAUCUGAGGGUGAAAGCGGGGGAUCUUCGGACCUCGCGCUAUUGGAGCGGCCGAUGGCAGAUUAGCUAGUUGGUGGGGUAAAGGCCUACCAAGGCGACGAUCUGUAGCUGGUCUGAGAGGACGACCAGCCACACUGGAACUGAGACACGGCCCAGACUCCUACGGGAGGCAGCAGUGGGGAAUUUUGGACAAUGGGCGAAAGCCUGAUCCAGCAAUGCCGCGUGUGUGAUGAAGGCCUUCGGGUUGUAAAGCACUUUUGGCGGGAACGAAAAGGACUGUGCCAAAACCACGGUUCGAUGACGGUACCCGCAGAAUAAGCACCGGCUAACUACGUG
rnacentral:rRNA from 1 species